rnacentral:rRNA from 1 species
AACGAGUUAUCUGAACCUUCGGGGAACGAUAACGGCGUCGAGCGGCGGACGGGUGAGUAAUGCCUAGGAAAUUGCCCUGAUGUGGGGGAUAACCAUUGGAAACGAUGGCUAAUACCGCAUGAUGCCUACGGGCCAAAGAGGGGGACCUUCGGGCCUCUUCGCGUCAGGAAUAUGCCUAGGUGGGAUUAGCUAGUUGGUGAGGUAAGGGCUCACCAAGGCGACGAUCCCUAGCUGGUCUGAGAGGAUGAUCAGCCACACUGGAACUGAGACACGGUCCAGACUCCUACGGGAGGCAGCAGUGGGGAAUAUUGCACAAUGGGCGCAAGCCUGAUGCAGCCAUGCCGCGUGUGUGAAGAAGGCCUUCGGGUUGUAAAGCACUUUCAGUCGUGAGGAAGGUGGUGUAGUUAAUAGCUGCAUUAUUUGACGUUAGCGACAGAAGAAGCACCGGCUAACUCCGUGCCAGCAGCCGCGGUAAUACGGAGGGUGCGAGCGUUAAUCGGAAUUACUGGGCGUAAAGCGCAUGCAGGUGGUUUGUUAAGUCAGAUGUGAAAGCCCGGGGCUCAACCUCGGAAUAGCAUUUGAAACUGGCAGACUAGAGUACUGUAGAGGGGGGUAGAAUUUCAGGUGUAGCGGUGAAAUGCGUAGAGAUCUGAAGGAAUACCGGUGGCGAAGGCGGCCCCCUGGACAGAUACUGACACUCAGAUGCGAAAGCGUGGGGAGCAAACAGGAUUAGAUACCCUGGUAGUCCACGCCGUAAACGAUGUCUACUUGGAGGUUGUGGCCUUGAGCCGUGGCUUUCGGAGCUAACGCGUUAAGUAGACCGCCUGGGGAGUACGGUCGCAAGAUUAAAACUCAAAUGAAUUGACGGGGGCCCGCACAAGCGGUGGAGCAUGUGGUUUAAUUCGAUGCAACGCGAAGAACCUUACCUACUCUUGACAUCCAGAGAACUUUCCAGAGAUGGAUUGGUGCCUUCGGGAACUCUGAGACAGGUGCUGCAUGGCUGUCGUCAGCUCGUGUUGUGAAAUGUUGGGUUAAGUCCCGCAACGAGCGCAACCCUUAUCCUUGUUUGCCAGCGAGUAAUGUCGGGAACUCCAGGGAGACUGCCGGUGAUAAACCGGAGGAAGGUGGGGACGACGUCAAGUCAUCAUGGCCCUUACGAGUAGGGCUACACACGUGCUACAAUGGCGCAUACAGAGGGCGGCCAACUUGCGAAAGUGAGCGAAUCCCAAAAAGUGCGUCGUAGUCCGGAUUGGAGUCUGCAACUCGACUCCAUGAAGUCGGAAUCGCUAGUAAUCGUGGAUCAGAAUGCCACGGUGAAUACGUACUCCAAG